GAGGCCAAACCUCAAAGAGUCAACUCUGCGUUUACUCCAAGACAUAAAUUGGUUCUAUAUAGUACGAUCCAAUUUAAUAACCCCUGUAGUAGUUGGAA
rnacentral:sRNA from 1 species